GGUGUCGGGGGAUCGACCCCCUCGGUGUCGUAGCUAACGCGUUAAGUGUUCCGCCUGGGGAGUACGCACGCAAGUGUGAAACUCAAAGGAAUUGACGGGGGCCCGCACAAGCGGUGGAGUAUGUGGUUUAAUUCGAUGCAACGCGAAGAACCUUACCAGGGUUUGACAUCCUGCGAACCUCUUAGAAAUUUGAGGGUGCCUUCGGGAAUGCAGUGACAGGUGGUGCAUGGCUGUCGUCAGCUCGUGUCGUGAGAUGUUGGGUUAAGUCCCGCAACGAGCGCAACCCACGUUUUUAGUUGCCAGCAUUUAGUUGGGCACUCUAGAAAGACCGCCGGUGAUAAACCGGAGGAAGGUGUGGAUGACGUCAAGUCAUCAUGCCCGUUACACCCUGGGCUACACACGUACUACAAUGCUACGGACAAAGGGCAGCAAACUCGCGAGAGCUAGCAAAUCCCAUAAACCGUGGCUCAGUUCAGAUCGUAGGCUGCAACUCGCCUACGUGAAGUAGGAAUCGCUAGUAAUCGCAGGUCAGCAUACUGCGGUGAAUACGUUCCCGGGCCUUGUACACACCGCCCGUCACACCAUGGAAGUUGGCCAUGCCCGAAGUCGUUACUCCAACCCUUGUGGAGGAGGACGCCGAAGGUGGGGCUAAUGACUGGGGUGAAGUCGUAACAAGGUAGCCGUACCGGAAGGUGCGGCUGGAUCACCUCCUAA
rnacentral:rRNA from 1 species